AUACGUAUGUCGCAAGCGUUAUCCGGAAUUAUUGGGCGUAAAGCGAGUCUAGGCGGCUUGUUAAGUCAGAUGUGAAAAUGCGGGGCUCAACUCCGUAUUGCGUUUGAAACUGGCAGGCUAGGGUACUGGAGAGGUGGGCGGAACUACAAGUGUAGGGGUGAAAUUCGUAGAUAUUUGUAGGAAUGCCGAUAGUGAAGACAGCUCACUGGACAGAUACUGACGCUAAAGCUCGAAAGCGUGGGGAGCGAACAGGAUUAGAAACCCCAGUAGUCC
rnacentral:rRNA from 1 species